UUGGAGGGCAAGUCUGGUGCCAGCAGCCGCGGUAAUUCCAGCUCCAAUAGCGUAUAUUAAAGUUGUUGCAGUUAAAAAGCUCGUAGUUGAACUUCGGGAUCAAGGGAUCGGUCAUGCCUUGGUAUGUACUGGUCUUAUUGGUUCUCACCUUCUAAAGAACCAUAAUGUCAUUCAUUUGAUGUUAUGGGGAAUUAGGACUGUUACCUUAGAAAAAUUGAGUGUUUAAAGCAGGCUUACGCUUGAAUACAUUAGCAUGGAAUAAUGAAAUAGGACAUCCGAUUCUAUUUUGUUGGUUUCUAGGAUCGAUGUAAUGAUUAAUAGGGAUAGGUUGGGGG
rnacentral:rRNA from 1 species